CGAUUUAAGUAACCUGCCUUUAAGACGAGGAUAACAAAUGGAAACAUUUGCUAAGACUGGAUAGGAAACAAGAAGGCAUCUUUUUGUUUUUAAAAGACCUCCUAAAAAAAGGUAUGCUUAAAGAGGGGCUUGCGCCACAUUAGUUUGUUGGUAAGGUAAUGGCUUACCAAGACUAUGAUGUGUAGCUGGACUGAGAGGUUGAACAGCCACAUUGGGACUGAGACACGGCCCAAACUCCUACGGGAGGCAGCAGUAGGGAAUUUUCGGCAAUGGAGGAAACUCUGACCGAGCAAUGCCGCGUGAACGAUGAAGUAUUUCGGUAUGUAAAGUUCUUUUAUUGAAGAAGAAAAAUAGUGGAAAAACUAUCUUGACGCUAUUCAAUGAAUAAGCCCCGGCUAACUAUGUGCCAGCAGCCGCGGUAAGACAUAGGGGGCGAGCGUUAUCCGGAAUUAUUGGGCGUAAAGGGUGCGUAGGCGGUUAGUUAAGUCUAUAAUUUAAUUUCAACGCUUAACGUUGUUUUGUUAUAGAAACUGCCUAACUAGAGUGAGAUAGAGGCAAGUGGAAUUCCAUGUGUAGCGGUAAAAUGUGUAAAUAUAUGGAGGAACACCAGAAGCGUAGGCGGCUUGCUGGGUCUUUACUGACGCUGAGGCACGAAAGCGUGGGUAGCAAACAGGAUUAGAUACCCUGGUAGUCCACGCCGUAAACGAUGAGUACUAAGUGUCAGGGUAAAACUUGGUACUGAAGUUAACACAUUAAGUACUCCGCCUGAGUAGUACGUACGCAAGUAUGAAACUUAAAGGAAUUGACGGGACUCCGCACAAGCGGUGGAUCAUGUUGUUUAAUUCGGAGAUACACGAAAAACCUUACCAGGUCUUGACAUACUCUGCAAAGUUAUAGAAAUAUAAUGGAGGUUAUCAGGGAUACAGGUGGUGCAUGGUUGUCGUCAGCUCGUGUCGUGAGAUGUUAAGGUUAAGUCCUAAAACGAGCGCAACCCUUGUCGUUAGUUACCAGCACGUAAAGGUGGGGACUUUAGCGAGACUGCCAAUUAAAAAUUGGGAGGAAGGUGAAGGAUUACCGUCAAAUCAUCAUGCCCCUUAUGAUCUGGGCUACAAACGUGAUACAAUGGCUGUUACAAAGAGUAGCUGAAACGUGAGUUUUUAGCCAAUCUCAAAAAAGCAGCCUCAGUUCGGAUUGAAGUCUGCAACUCGACUUCAUGAAGUUGGAAUCGCUAGUAAUCGCGAAUCAGCAUGUCGCGGUGAAUACGUUCUCGGGGUUUGUACACACCGCCCGUCAAACCAUGGAAGUGGACAAUACCCAAAAGCAGUGGCUUAAUUUCGUAAGAAAAGGGAACUGUCUAAGGUAGGGUCGAUGAUUGGGGUUAAGAAUCACUAGUG
rnacentral:rRNA from 1 species